AUUAGCCCCUGGAGAGGGUUUGCUUGUCCUCGGCUGCUCGACGGUGGCCAGGUUAGCUGAACAGGAUGAGCUCUGGGAUGAUGGGCUUACACCGGGAUGGAGCCGUGCCUGAUCAGCCUAUUCAUCAAAAGCAAGGGUGAUGACUGUGAUUUACAACUGUCUGUCUAAGUCUGUCUUGCACUGAGAGGCAAAUUAAAGUACAGCUUCACAGAGGCAUUGCUGCAGUCUUAUUUGAAGCAGAGGAAGGUUCUAGCUGCUGGAAAGGCCAGAGGAAUAGGCUGCAGAGGUGGGAGGAACCGGGUUCUUGGGAGAUCAAAGUGGAGGUUCAGGAAGAAGAGACCAUUUCCGUGAGGGUGGGGGUCAGAGAAACUCUGGACCGGAGCAGGGGAAGUUUCCCAAGGUGAGGGAGUGAGUGGAAAGGGAGAGCAGGGCUCCAGCUAGUUCAUCCAUCUCUGUCUGUUUUAGGGGGAGAUGCUGGCUGGGAGCACUAAAGAUGGAUGAGGCAUGCAGCGCUAAAUCCUGCCCUGUCCAGUCAGUCACACAGCCGGGCCGGGUAAUUAAAUAGUGUGUUGGCUACGGGCAGGGACAGACUGACCCACUCCCUUUUUUCGGCGAAUAGAGAUGCAGAGUUGGACCAGUGAGGACGGAUCGGCCAAAUAACACCUGACAUGCAGAGGAGAGAUAUGAGGAGAUAACUACUCCUGUUGCCCCACAACUGGCCAUCCAGAACUCACUUUAAUCCACAUCUCUUGAUACGCUUCCAAGCUUUUGAUCCAUUUUAGUUAGCUUUGAACAUUAACACACAGACAUUUGGUUGUGUUUUUGGCCGACAGUGCUGAGAGUUCACCACAUCUCAGCAAUCAAUCAAUCAAUUUUAUUAAAUUUUUUGUCACACGAAAUCGUACAAUGUACAAUUCCAGGGAAAUGUUAUCCCAUCAGCUCCUUAAACUUGUGAAUGGUUUAUCAUAAGGCAGAAUGUGGCUGUCAGAUCGGCACACAG